AGUACAUAUUCUCUGUAUUCUAAACGCUAUAGGAUAUAUUCACACAGACACACACACAACACAUAUAUAUGUUCUACUACUUGUGAUCAAUAAUAUAUUGGAAUGACAAAGCAAAAGCCUUGAUAAUUGGCAAUAGUGUCUUGCAGAUUUGACAGUAUCCGGAGGCCUUGUUAUUACAUACAGUAAUGUAUAGUUGAUUUCCCAAAUUAGAGGAAUCUUUUAUAGGAAUCUCUGCAUAUCAGAUUAUCCAAAUUAAAUUAUUUCUUGUGAAUUGUUUCUUAGUAAGUUGUCCAGUAUUUCGUAGCUUGGAUCCCUGUGGCUCUUCAGGAAACAUGCUGGAUUUACCUUUCCUAUGCUGAUAUUGGAUGAUUCUUAUCUUUAUCUCACUAGGCUUCAGGAAAGCAAAUGAAAUUAGAUAUGCUGUAUUACCAAAACAUUCCUGGACCAAAAAGGAGAAUCGCACACAUUGCCAAGUUUGACGUUCCAACCAGUAAAGAGAUCAUUAGCCCAUUCAGGGGACCAGUUCCCCUAGUUAGUCCCACCGGCAUCCUUCCGGCUCAGCAGCAGGCAGUGCAGAUAAUAGCUGCCGUUAGGAGUGGGCAGGCUUUUGUUGCUGCCACUUCGGAACAGAAGAAAAACGCAUUAGCAUGUCCAGCCUCUCAGACCCAGAGGAAAGCCUCAGGAGAAAAUUCACUUCCAUCAAACAGCUUUGAUCUGGAUGUAGUUCUUUCGAGGGAAAACGCAGCUGCAAAGCCAAGCAGGUCACACGUUCCCGUGAAGAGCAUUGCUGCUUCCCCUGGAAAGGUAUGA
rnacentral:lncRNA from 1 species